GGGGCGGGGGGUAGAGGGCUUCUGGGGGGGGGGUGUUGGGACAUCAGGAAGGGGACCGCUGGUCCUUGGGGACAUCUCCACCCUGCCAUCUUAGCGGAGUCAUUUGUAGAGAGCAGAAUUUGAAUUUCUGAUUUUCUGGGAGCUGAUGGGGAAGGCCUGUGAGGAAGGGUGGUGUUUCCUAAUUCCUGUCAGUCGCUGUGGCCCGUGCUGUCUGUCUCCCUGAGCAGGUGAUGACUUCCUCAGGCCUGAUGCAGCCUCUGGCUUGGAGCAGAUGCUCAGGAAAUGUUUAUGGAAUGAAGGAGUGAGCUCCCUCGAUGCCGGCCUUGGAUUCAUGCAUCCACUCGUACCUGUUGUAUAUCAAGGUGCGCUAGGCACGGAGCAUCCACAGUGAGCGACAGCUCCUGCACCUGAAUGGCAGCUCCACAAAGGCUGAGACCUGGUCUGUCUUGUUCAUCAGUGUAGCCCCUUGGUGUAAAAUAGAGCUUGGCACAUUGCAGUCACACAACAAAUAUUGGUGGAGUGGGUCCCGUGUGGCAGGGGCAAGUGCGGCUUCCUCACUCUGAGCCUUUCUUCACCGGGAACUCUCUUUAUGACAAUUCCUGCAUAUCAGGUGGUCUUGUCUCCUCGCCCAAGCUCAGUUCCAUCUGGCUGGCCAUGGUCGCUGCCUCUCUUAGGAUGGAUUCCCCAAGAAGCCGACUUGCGGACCCUCUUGGCACAUUGGAAGCCCUGACUGUGCCCAGGGCCCCACCUCACUGGUGUGCACAGGACCCAUCUGCUGGCCCACGGCUCAGGGCAUUUGCACUUCUGCGGGAGCUUUGCAGUCUUACUGGCCCACACUCCAGGAGCCCAGAAUCACCUCCCGAAUAAAUCUCAGGGGCAGCUCCUGGGGAACCACUCGAAGACGAAGCUGGCCAGGACGUCCUCCCUGAAGCCUGCCCAGCAGCCUGCCUCUUCCUCCCAGCCUUCCUCACAUGGUGCCCGCCCCACGCCCUUCUGGCUCUGGAGCCUCCAGCUCUCAUGCAAGCAGCAGAGGAAGAAAACAUGCUCCGUGUCCCGUCCUCCAGUUCUCUCUGCUCCUGGGGGUCUUACAUCUCAUGCUGGGAGCCAAUGAUUCGUUCAUUCACCCUUUGGCAAAAUCCCUAGGACAUCAGCCUGUCUUCCAGCAGCCUAACCUGGU